CGGACAAAGUGAAUGUGUGAUGGAUCUGCAAAACGGUUGUUGUGGUCCCGCUGUACUGGGCGCGUGCAGUGAGCGCCGGCCACGUGCACCAGCGGCGCAGCCGGAUGCACGCAGCCUGCAGAUGGUGACUGGCGUCUGCCUGGUGGCUGUGGCGGGGUCAUUGACCCUCCCUCUCCGCCUCCUAGGACCACCGAUCUGGACUCAAUGGGUUCUGACACUGUUAUAGCAGGGCUGCAGGUGGUAGUAUAACCAACAGCUCAACAACAAGGACAACCGACUCAGGAGACAUUGGCUCCCUGUUCAGCAAUCACUCUUCUGGUGAAGAAGAAAAUAGCUUUAAACUAAGUGAUUCUCUGAUCAGUGAAUCCCUCUGGUUUUUCUGAAUAACGUCUCGG
ensembl:lncRNA